AUUGAACGCUGGCGGCAGGCUUAACACAUGCAAGUCGAGCGGAGAUGAGGUGCUUGCACCUCAUCUUAGCGGCGGACGGGUGAGUAAUGCUUAGGAAUCUGCCUAUUAGUGGGGGACAACAUUCCGAAAGGAAUGCUAAUACCGCAUACGUCCUACGGGAGAAAGCAGGGGAUCUUCGGACCUUGCGCUAAUAGAUGAGCCUAAGUCGGAUUAGCUAGUUGGUGGGGUAAAGGCCUACCAAGGCGACGAUCUGUAGCGGGUCUGAGAGGAUGAUCCGCCACACUGGGACUGAGACACGGCCCAGACUCCUACGGGAGGCAGCAGUGGGGAAUAUCGGACAAUGGGGGGAACCCUGAUCCAGCCAUGCCGCGUGUGUGAAGAAGGCCUUAUGGUUGUAAGGCACUUUAAGCGAGGAGGAGGCUACUGAGACUAAUACUCUUGGAUAGUGGACGUUACUCGCAGAAUAAGCACCGGCUAACUCUGUGCCAGCCGCCGCCGUAAGAC
rnacentral:rRNA from 1 species